GCGUGGUAGGAGAGCGUUCUGUAAGCCUGUGAAGGUGUCUUGUAAAGGAUGCUGGAGGUAUCAGAAGUGCGAAUGCUGACAUGAGUAGCGAUAAAGGGGGUGAAAGGCCCCCUCGCCGUAAGCCCAAGGUUUCCUACGCAACGUUCAUCGGCGUAGGGUGAGUCGGCCCCUAAGGCGAGGCAGAGAUGCGUAGCUGAUGGGAAGCAGGUUAAUAUUCCUGCACCGUCGUAUGAUGCGAUGGGGGGACGGAUCGCGGAAGGUUGUCCGGGUGUUGGAAGUCCCGGUCCCUGUAGUGGAGAAGGCGCUUAGGCAAAUCCGGGCGCGGAAUUCAAGGCUAUGGGGCGAGCGGCCUAGUGCUGCGAAGCAAUUGGAAGUGGUUCCAAGAAAAGCCUCUAAGCUUCAGUCAUACGAGACCGUACCGCAAACCGACACAGGUGGGCGAGAUGAGUAUUCUAAGGCGCUUGAGAGAACUCGGGAGAAGGAACUCGGCAAAUUGGUACCGUAACUUCGGGAUAAGGUACGCCCUGGUAGCUUGACUGGCCUGCGCCAGAAGGGUGAAGGGGUUGCAAUAAAAUGGUGGCUGCGACUGUUUAAUAAAAACACAGCACUCUGCAAACACGAAAGUGGACGUAUAGGGUGUGACGCCUGCCCGGUGCCGGAAGAUUAAAUGAUGGGGUGCAAGCUCUUGAUUGAAGUCCCGGUAAACGGCGGCCGUAACUAUAACGGUCCUAAGGUAGCGAAAUUCCUUGUCGGGUAAGUUCCGACCUGCACGAAUGGCGUAACGAUGGCCACACUGUCUCCUCCCGAGACUCAGCGAAGUUGAAGUGUUUGUGAUGAUGCAAUCUCCCCGCGGCUAGACGGAAAGACCCCAUGAACCUUUACUGUAGCUUUGCAUUGGACUUUGAACCGAUCUGUGUAGGAUAGGUGGGAGGCUUUGAAGCGUGGACGCCAGUUCACGUGGAGCCGUCCUUGAAAUACCACCCUGGUUUGUUUGAGGUUCUAACCUUGGCCCGUGAAUCCGGGUCGGGGACAGUGCAUGGUAGGCAGUUUGACUGGGGCGGUCUCCUCCCAAAGUGUAACGGAGGAGUUCGAAGGUACGCUUGGUACGGUCGGACAUCGUACCUAAAGUGCAAUGGCAAAAGCGUGCUUAACUGCGAGACCGACAAGUCGAGCAGGUGCGAAAGCAGGACAUAGUGAUCCGGUGGUUCUGAAUGGAAGGGCCAUCGCUCAACGGAUAAAAGGUACUCUGGGGAUAACAGGCUGAUACCGCCCAAGAGUUCAUAUCGACGGCGGUGUUUGGCACCUCGAUGUCGGCUCAUCUCAUCCUGGGGCUGUAGCCGGUCCCAAGGGUAUGGCUGUUCGCCAUUUAAAGAGGUACGUGAGCUGGGUUUAAAACGUCGUGAGACAGUUUGGUCCCUAUCUGCCGUGGGCGUUGGAAUCUUGACGGGGGCUGCUCCUAGUACGAGAGGACCGGAGUGGACGUACCGCUGGUGUACCUGUUGUCUCGCCAGAGGCAUCGCAGGGUAGCUAUGUACGGAAGAGAUAACCGCUGAAAGCAUCUAAGCGGGAAACUCGCCUGAAGAUGAGGAUUCCCUGGAGGCUUGACCUCCUUGAAGGGUCGUUCGAGACCAGGACGUUGAUAGGCUGGGUGUGGAAGCGCAGUAAUGCGUUAAGCUAACCAGUACUAAUUGCCCGUAAGGCUUGAUCCU
rnacentral:rRNA from 1 species